ensembl:lncRNA
CCCUAUACCUACACUCGCUUUCUGCCUGAUCAGUUCAAAUCACUAUCUGAGAUGCUGACUGGUGUGGGGUCACAAGAUGCUGUGACAUUCUGGAAGAGGAGCACAAUGUCAUCACAAAGUGAUGACAAAGUAAUGACAUCACAGGGAGGUCAACACUCCCAUGAGUCCCUCAGACUUUGGUCCUUGCAGGUCUCUGUGUUUCCUCCUCUUUCCCCAGGGCUUCUCCAAGGACAUUUUCUGAAGCCUUUCCAUCUGCUGAGCCAAAGAGAUUGCUCAAGACCAGAUGUGGAGAGCCCUUGGCCCAGGCUCCCCACGAGGCUCCAUGCAUGGCUCCACACACAGGAGAAUGGCAGUCAUCCAGCGUGGAUGGAAUGGUAGAACUGGAAAGUCACCAUCUUAUAGCCCUCAAAGGAACUGAUUAUUGAUCCAAGCUUCAGUCAUCAAUGGAGAGGAACCAACAGGUGAUAGAUAGAUGAACAGGAUGCUCACCUGGUGCCAGGUCCCCACCUUUGCCAUUUCCUCUGGUCACAGGGGACAUUCCACUUGCUCCCUGGAGAGACCUGUGGGUGUCACCUGAUCCCAGGCCACCCCAGCAUCACAGACAGGCACCUGGCCCUCUGUCUCUCCUGAUGCAGUGCAAGGAGGUGAACUGUUAACAUGUCAGCAUGUAAAUGUGCCCAAAG